AAUCAAGUUUUAAGAAGGUGGUGGUGGGGGGGGUGGUGUUUUAACACUAGUAUUUUCUUUUUUCCACCCUAACUGGAGGGCUAAUGUUUUUUUCCCCCACCCCAUGCCUGAUUUAGAUUGUAGUAAUCUGCCUAGACAACUGCACCCACAAAUCCCACUGCAUUUAAUUCACUUCAUUUACACGCAAAUCUAAACUCAACACACUUUUCCCUGGUGGGGUGUUUCUAGUGGGAGCUAGUUGUCUGCAGUUCCAUGUGAUACCUAAAAUCCAUGACCAGAAACAGAUAAGGGCGGGGGGGUGUGAGAGAGAGAGCAAGCGCCUGCAGAAAGUGUGUGUGUAUGUAGAUAAAGCUCUGCAUGUGUGGGAGCGGAGGGUAUAUGUUUGUAUGUGCGUGUAUGUGAAGAUAAGGGUGUGUGUGUGUGAGCAGAAGGUAUAUGGUUGUGUGCGUGGAUAAGGCAGUGUGUAGAUAAGGGAGUGUGAGAGAGUGAGCAGGGGGGCGGGUGGCGCUGGCGGAUCAGCUGUGCGGACCGGCUGGGCUAAAACAAAGGCAUGUUUCAGUGGCGGAGCAGGGGUGAUUUCCUGUCGGGCCGGGGCUCUGCUGCAGGCAGCUGUGUUCCCCUCCGGCGAUAUUUCCCUAUGGAUUCUAAUAAUGGCAACUGUAGAGGCACCGGCAUUGAACGCUGCAAAUGCAAACCUAUAAAAGCUACCCAGAAGACCUAUCUUCGGAACAAUUAUAAUUAUGUCAUUCGGGCUAAAGUGAAGGAGGUGAAGACUAAAUGUCAUGAUGUCACUGCAGUUGUAGAAGUAAAGGAGAUUCUAAAAUCAUCCUUGGUAAACAUUCCUAGAGACACAGUUAACCUUUACACAAACUCUGGUUGUCUGUGCCCACCACUCAACACUAAUGAAGAAUAUAUCAUAAUGGGCUAUGAAGAUGAGGAACGCUCCAGGUUACUCUUGGUAGAAGGCUCCAUAGCGGAGAAAUGGAAGGAUCGUCUUGGUAAAAAAGUAAAGGCAUGAUCUCAUGAGAUGCUGAGGGCCCUCCAUUCCCGGUGAGGGGCAUCAACAUCUCAUAGGAUUGGGCCCUGAGACUCUGAGCCUGUCAACUGAUUCAUCGCUGGGAUCAGAAACUCCGUCAUUCUGGAAAAAGCAAAAAUGAGCCUGGUCAAAGCGAUUCUGCUCAAAAGUCUGGCAAGAAUAACAAUCCACGACAAACACGCAAUUAAAUGUGAAAUGCUGGAUGUAAAAAAUCAAUGGACAAUAUAUUAAGACUUGUAUUGUUGGAGCAAAGGAGAAAUUGCACUAUUGCACGUUAUAUUCUAUUGUUUACUACAAAAUCAUGUUGUAGUUUGAUAUUAGUUUUAUUUUUCCUCCUGUUUCUGCUUUUUGGUGUGUGCACCAACCCUGAAAAUAUAUAUAUUUUAUUUUGCUAAUAACUGUGGAAGACUGCCUUAAGGAGAUUAAAAAAAAAAAAGCAGGGCUGAUGUUAUCAGAAGCACCGCUUACUGUUUUAUCAUCUGAACCUUGCUUAGAAAUUUAUGGCACAUGUAGGAAUUGGAUCUAACAUAGGCCAGAAUCUGAAAACAUGACUUUAACUCGACUUCCCUGCUUCUGUCCCUUCUCAUCACACACUUGAUCAUGGUUAUAGAAACUGUUUUGAUUUUUGUUUUGUUAAGUGUAUAAAAUUUAGUUUGAAAUAUAAUUGCCAUAUAUACAUACAAGUUAAAAAUCGUUUGGCAUUUCUGGAGAAACAAAUAGCAAAAAAAGAAAAAUGUAGGGUUAGCCAAAAACACAGUAAAGAAAUGCCGACAGGUUGAAAACCGCAAUUUAAAUAUAUGACUUUUUGAAGUUAACAUGAAUUUUUUGGUCACUGUUAGAAUUCACUUCAUGAAAAUACUAGUCAGCAUUAAGGAAAGGGAUCAUUUUAAGAUAACUGUUCUAAUCUGUACAGAGCUGUUAAAUUUGCUUCCUCUCUAAUAAACCACUUCUGUGAGUCUAAGUCUCAGUUCCAGCACUCAACAUGACAAAAACCUACUGUGUGCUUGUACACAUGGACUUGUUUUCUAAAUGCUUUUAUCCUUGUGGGAAAUGCUGUAUAGUUCUGUUAACUCAGAACAUAAUUUACGGUAUACUUAUUCUCUUUUAAACUCAAUUCCUUUUUAUUUUCUGCUGAGUUGUAAGAGUAGAGUGUCUUACCAGGCCUGCUUCUCAGUACAGGUCUGCACUUUAUCAUUUCGAUUUUGUGCUGUUAUUCUAUUUCUGUGCCUACAUAAACAUCAGUGUUCAAUGUUCAGUAAAGUACGUCUAAUAAAAGAAUUAUGGUUGUCAACAGAGACCUUAUCCUGACUUUUGCCCCAAAUGCACAUUUUUUAUAAACCAUGAUGUAUUAUUGUCUGCAGUAUGUGCCAGUAAAAAAGGCUUCAUUACCCUCCUCUAACAGAAUUCUUCAGAGCCAGUGCCAACAGUUUGAAUAGCCUGCCUUGCUCUCUCUUUUUAAUUUUUUUUUAACUAGAAUGGUAUAAGUAGAAUACCAAGCUUCUGACCUAUGGUACACAGAAAAUAAAACACAUAUAUUGCAAACUAUUACUGCGUUUUCAGUUGUAAAUACUGUAUAUCCUUUCCUUUGGUAUCUAUAUGUAUCAAGGUUGCUUUUCAUAUGUAGGAAACAACACUGCAGUUUUUAGGUGGUUGAAAGCAAUCUUAUUGAAAUACAAUGUGAAUAAAGUGAUAAAAACAUGGAAA